rnacentral:lncRNA from 1 species
CCAAAACGAGGUAUUAGGGACUAUGCUAAAAAAAAAUUCCCCUAAAAACGUAUCAGCCCAUAGCAGAUCGCUAAAAAUUACCCCCAAUAAUUCAAAACAGACCACGUCAUCGUAUUGGACUCAUUAGGAUCCGUGCUUUUUUUCCCUCUACCGUGACCAGAAGUCCCUCGCCAGCGUCGAGUUCCAGAUCUGCCUUGUGUUGUUGGACUCGAUCGAGGACGAGUCCAUCUAUCUUCCCCUUUAUCUUCCUCUACUUCUUGUCUACCGAAGCAUCUCCAUCGAUGUGCACAGAAAUUCCUCCACUGCGUAUAGCAAUUCCUCCGCUUCGAGCUCCAGGUCGACGCGAAUCCUCUUCUUGCCUGCAAGCUCGCCGCCGCUACCUUGCCUGCAAUUUUCCUUCCAUAGCAUGCAAUGCAAUGAUUCCAUUACGCAUCCACGGCUCAAUCGAUCUGACCUUGAGGCAUCCAAUUUAUGCUCAGC